rnacentral:hammerhead_ribozyme from 1 species
AUCCAGCUGACGAGUCCCAAUCAGGACGAGAGGCGCGUUCCGGAU